rnacentral:SRP_RNA from 1 species
GAGUUCAGUGUCCCUUGCGACCAGCAGGAGGUGGACGCCAUCCUCGACGCCUGCCAGAACCGAAAACCAGUGCCCGUCUUCAAACCCACCGCCGCCGCCGCCUCCAAGACGGGCGCGGCGACCGCCAAGGCUGGCCGGGAAAGGGCGCUCUCGCUGAAGGAGGAGGGGAAC